UACGUAGGCAGCGAGCGUUGUUCGGAAUUACUGGGCGUAAAGAGUGUGUAGACGGUGUUCCCAGUCUGUUGUGAAAUCUCCCGGCUUAACUGGGAGGGUGCAGCGGAAACUAGAAUGCUAGAGGGUGGGAGAGGUAAGUGGAAUUCCCAGUGUAGUGGUGAAAUACGUAGAUAUUGGGAAGAACACCAGUGGUGAAGGCGGCUAUCUGGACGGUUUCUGACGCUAAGACGCGAAAGCGUGGGGAGCGAACAGG
rnacentral:rRNA from 1 species